rnacentral:rRNA from 1 species
CCUACGGGAGGCAGCAGUGAGGAAUAUUGGUCAAUGGACGGAAGUCUGAACCAGCCAUGCCGCGUGCAGGAAGACGGCUCUAUGAGUUGUAAACUGCUUUUGUACAAGGGUAAACCUGAAUACGUGUAUUCAGCUGAAAGUACUGUACGAAUAAGGAUCGGCUAACUCCGUGCCAGCAGCCGCGGUAAUACGGAGGAUCCAAGCGUUAUCCGGAUUUAUUGGGUUUAAAGGGUGCGUAGGCGGAUUGAUAAGUUAGAGGUGAAAUGUCCGAGCUUAACUCGGGAACUGCCUCUAAUACUGUUGAUCUAGAGAGUAGAUGCGGUAGGCGGAAUGUAUGGUGUAGCGGUGAAAGGCUUAGAGAUCAUACAGAACACCGAUUGCGAAGGCAGCUUACCAAUCUAUAUCUGACGUUGAGGCACGAAAGCGUGGGGAGCAAACAGGAUUAGAUACCCGUGUAGUC